AUGGAUUAUCUUUCUCAUCUACCAGCAAUUACAGGACUUCUGGUCUUGGUUUUGUUGUACCUAUGGAGGGUGAGAGUUCAGGAUCACAAAAUGAAGGGCCUCAUGUCCCCAGAACCACAUGGUGCCCUGCCAAUUAUAGGUCACCUCCAUCAGCUAGGUAGCCGAAACCCACUCUGUCGGACCUUAGCAAAAAUGGCUGACAAGUAUGGUCCAAUCUUUAUUAUAAGGCUCGGUAAGAACCGUGUCCUGGUGAUCAGCAACUAUGAAGCAGUCAAGGAAUGUUUCACCACAAACGACAGAGUUUUCGCCGCCAGACCAAUUUCGGCACAGGGUAAGUACCUUGGUUACAAUUAUGCAGCAUUCGGGUUCUCACCUUAUGGAACAUAUUGGCGUGACAUGAGAAAGUUGGUCGUGGUCGAGUUGCUCUCUAGUCGUAGGCUAGAGACUUUGAAACAUGUACAAGUCUCUGAGGUUGAUGCUUUUGUUAAAGGGUUGUAUUCAUUUUGGAAAAACAAAGGACAUGAUGGUCAAAGCAAGGUGGAGAUCAGUGAGUGGAUUGACCACCUAACCUUGAACAUGAUCACCAGAAUGAUUGCUGGGAAGAGGUACUUUGGUAAAGAGAUUGAUAAACUUGAUGGAGAGGAAAAGAGGAUUGGGAAGCUUAUGAAGGACUUUAUGUACGUAGCUGGCUUCCCAGUUGUUUCUGAUGUAAUUGGGUUUCCAGAGUGGAUUGAUUUCAAGGGGAAACUGAAAACUAUGAAGAAUAUAGGGAGCCAGUUAGAGUCUUUGAUGAAAAGUUGGGUUGAAGAACAUCAUACCAAGAAGCACAAGGGUGAUUCAAGCAACCAGCAGCAGGACUUGAUUAGUGUUCUGCUAUCUGAAAUUGAGGACAGUUCUAUGCUUGGUCAUACCAGAGAUACUAUUAUCAAGGCAACAGCAAUGAAUCUCGUCCUAGCUGGUUCAGAAACCACAGCAGUCACCUUGACAUGGAUCCUCUCUCUACUACUCAACAAUAGGCGUACCUUGAAGAUAGCCCAAGAAGAAUUAGAUCGAAAAGUUGGCAGGCACAGAUGGGUGGAAGACACUGACAUCAAAAAUCUGGUGUACCUCCAAGCCAUUGCCAAAGAAACACUACGUCUAUACCCACCAGGUCCACUCUCGGUCCCGCAUGAAGCAAUGGAGGACUGCUAAGUCGGUGGCUUUCAUGUUCCAAAGGGUACCCAUCUGUAUGUGAAUCUCUGGAAGCUGCAUAGAGACCCAAAUGUGUGGCCAGAUCCUGAAGUGUUUUCCCCGGAAAGAUUUCUUACAACCCAAGCAAGUGUAGACGCUUUAGGUCAACAUUUUGAGUUCAUUCCUUUUGGGGCUGGGAGAAGAAUUUGCCCAGGUAUUACUUUUGCAUUUCAGCUUAUGCACUUGACCGUUGCGAGGUUGAUACAAGGGUUUGAAUUAGCAACACCAUUAGACAAGGCAGUGGACAUGACUGAAGGAUUGGGGAUCACUAUGCCAAGGGCAACCGCACUAGAAAUUAUCCUAACCCCACGCUUGGCUUCUGAUUUAUAUGCGCAAUAG